rnacentral:rRNA from 1 species
GAUGAACGCUAGCGGCAGGCCUAACACAUGCAAGUCGAGGGAGAAGCCCUUUCGGGGGCAGAAACCGGCGCACGGGUGCGUAACGCGUAUGCAACCUACCUUUCACAGGGGGAUAGCCCGAAGAAAUUUGGAUUAAUACCCCAUAAUAUUAUUGGAUGGCAUCAUUUGAUAAUUAAAACUGCGGUGGUGAAAGAUGGGCAUGCGUCCUAUUAGCUAGUUGGAGUGGUAACGGCACCCCAAGGCUACGAUAGGUAGGGGUCCUGAGAGGGAGAUCCCCCACACUGGUACUGAGACAGGGACCAGACUCCUACGGGAGGCAGCAGUGAGGAAUAUUGGUCAAUGGUCGGAAGACUGAACCAGCCAUGCCGCGUGCAGGAAGAAUGCCUUGUGGGUUGUAAACUGCUUUUAUAUGGGAAGAAUAAGGCGUACGUGUACGUUGAUGACGGUACCAUAUGAAUAAGCAUCGGCUAACUCCGU